rnacentral:rRNA from 1 species
GCAUGCCUAACACAUGCAAGUCGAACGAGACCUUCGGGUCUAGUGGCGCACGGGUGCGUAACGCGUGGGAAUCUGCCCUUGGGUUCGGAAUAACAGUUAGAAAUGACUGCUAAUACCGGAUGAUGUCGUAAGACCAAAGAUUUAUCGCCCAAGGAUGAGCCCGCGUAGGAUUAGCUAGUUGGUGAGGUAAAGGCUCACCAAGGCGACGAUCCUUAGCUGGUCUGAGAGGAUGAUCAGCCACACUGGGACUGAGACACGGCCCAGACUCCUACGGGAGGCAGCAGUGGGGAAUAUUGGACAAUGGGCGAAAGCCUGAUCCAGCAAUGCCGCGUGAGUGAUGAAGGCCUUAGGGUUGUAAAGCUCUUUUACCCGGGAUGAUAAUGACAGUACCGGGAGAAUAAGCUCCGGCUAACUCCGUGCCAGCAGCCGCGGUAAUACGGAGGGAGCUAGCGUUAUUCGGAAUUACUGGGCGUAAAGCGCACGUAGGCGGCUUUGUAAGUUAGAGGUGAAAGCCCAGAGCUCAACUCUGGAAUUGCCUUUAAGACUGCAUCGCUUGAAUCAUGGGGAGGUCAGUGGAAUUCCGAGUGUAGAGGUGAAAUUCGUAGAUAUUCGGAAGAACACCAGUGGCGAAGGCGGCUGACUGGACAUGUAUUGACGCUGAGGUGCGAAAGCGUGGGGAGCAAACAGG